CGGUGCACGGCGGGAGCCGUCGCUUUGGCCACCGGCGUAAACAGCGCGGCAUGAGCAGGCCGGACCCGGCCGCCGCCGCCCCCCCCCGGGCCUGCUGCCAGGGCCUCGGCGGGCUCCUGCGGCGCCUCCGCGACAGUGAAGCCAAAAGGCUAGAAUUAGAAAGAAAACUGAUGGAAUACCGAAAAUCUGAUGCAUACCUAAUGAAAACAAAAUACGUGAAGCUGAAAAGAUACUUGAAAGAAAUAGAAGAACGACAAAAAGGAGCUCUUCUGCGAAACCAGACCUUUUUAAAGGAAUUUGACCAAUUUGAAGCUCAUAUGAAAGCUUCAAGUUCAGAGAUGAUUCAGAAGAUGGAAGCAUGGUAUGGAAGAGAAAUUAGAAGUAUGUUACCACUUCAGGAGGGUAACUUGUCAGCAGAAGGUGACAGGGAAGCAGAAUACAACAAGCAGAUGCCGCAGGUUGGAAGACAGGCAGAAAUCAGCACCAAGACAGGCGUGCUAACAGGACUGUAUCAUCCAGCAACAGUCUUUAUGGGCUGCCAUACCUCAGCUGUCUCUGCCGCUGGAAGUUUGGGCGCACAGCAGAACCACCCCCAGCCCACAGAGAGCUGCUUGACACUCGACUCACCGUCAUGCUCUCUGUCAGUUGAAGAACCUGGUCCAGAGAGAAGAAAUGCUGAUUUAGAGAGCGAUGCAUCAGUGGAGGGAGUAGCAAGACACAGGGACCUGGCUGCCAGUGAGGAAGGCUCCGAGCAGCUCAUCUCCUCAGCUUCUGAUCUUAAACCAGCUACCCCCAAGGAGGAAGAGCCACAGGGAAGCAUCCCAGAACCAAAGCCAUGCCUGAGUAACUGGUGGACUUGUAAGGAAGCAAGCUGGGAGAGCAGCAGCAAGCUCCCGGUCCCCAGGAGCGCUGAGGAGGUGGUGCCGAGCACUGCUGGCAUGCUGCAUGGAACAGCCCCGUUGGUGACCGGCUGGGAGCGGAGCAGGGAUGCCCACACUGUGGAGGGCUCCCCACUGCAACCACCAAACCCUGCCGUGGCGCACGAGGAACCCUCGGUCAGCUCAGGACCAGAUGGGCACCACAGGAUGCUGGUGGGACUCUCUUGUGCGCUGCAGUUGAUAGAAGAUGUGGUGGUGAGGAUGAGCCCCCAGCGCCAGGCUCUGUACCAGGGCAAGCACGUGGGGACGAUGGGGACGGCGGAGCUGCUCAGCUUUUGUAAUCGGGCUGGCAAUCUGAAAGAAGAAGACCUUGAAGCAUGUGAAGCAGUUGUCCUUCAUCAGCUUCAGGCUUUAUUACAGAGCGCUCUGAAUGGAUGUCUUCUACCUGAGAAAACACUUGAUGCUAAAGGUGCAGCGGUAGAUGAAAAGCAAACCAGGCCAGACCAGCAGUGGGAUGUGGACGUGCUGCGGACUUGCUUGAGCAGCCAUGCCUUGUUCUUGAAAAAGCACCAGGUUCAGCUCACAGAAGAAGUGGCAGAGAUGUUUGGAAGACUGCUGGUUUCCAGCAAGGAGGCACAGGAUGGCCAGGCUCUACCAGUGUUGAGAGAGGUCCUUCCAGAAGAGUGUGGGGAUAGGCCAUCUAUUCAGAGUAAUGAGUCAUCUUACAGCUUGCCAUCGAUCCCAAACGACGGUGAGGAAAUAAAGCCGGCAAAACACGCUCCCUGGCUCGCCGGCGCGGGAGAACAAGAAGUCACAAGCUGGUGUGAAGAUGAGAGCAAGGAAGAAAGCACAGUCGAAAAGAUUCCUAUUACAGGUGUGUACUCCGAUGGAAAGGUGCAAGGGCAUCUGCUUAUGCAAUGCUCACUGUUGCUUUUCUGCUCUUUUACGGCUUCAAAAUAGCCUGUCUUUCAGAGAGCAAUUCAUUUCUCUACAGAGGUUUUCCUCUGCUGCUUUUUGAGCCUCAUUUGCAGCUGAAAUAUAAAAAUGUGCUUCUUGUAUUCGUGAAUUAUACUGCAGCAGUAAUAUUCCUAUGUUAGCCCAAUAAAACUUAGAUAUUUCUAGAGUAGAAUGCUUUCCAUUUUCCUGCUUCUUAAAAUGUCCUUCAGUCACAGAUGGUAACAUAUUUUAAAACAUGAAUUGCAUUGAUUUUUAGAAGAAUUAAAAGCCACUUAAAUCUUUUUCAUGAAACAAAACACAAUUCUCGUUUGAAAAUUGAUCUAAAAUUUUACAAAUCCUGGGAUUGAUUCAAUUUUUGUUUGUAAUUUAAGAGGAUUCAAAUUUGAGGAUGGAGGUUGAAGUUCCCUAAACUGCAGAGAGUGCCAGCAAGACCAGUGUCAGGAGUGGUGGCUCACUCCAACUAAUGCCAUCACUGAUAGUAUUUUGGGGUUGUUUUUUUUUAAGAAUACCGGCUCUGGAGUUGAGACUCCUGUCACUGCCAAUGCUUUUGGUUUGCUUCUCCCCACCCUGAAUUUUGUGACUGGCCAGUAGUGGUUUUAGCUGUGGUUUUGCACAUGAAUUUGUUGGGGAAUUCUCUGCUGCAGUUUUUCAUGCUGGAGACCCCGGCGGUCUGUGCGGCUGGCUGCUGUGUCAGGUGUCAGCCGUAAGCCAAGCCAUGAUGGACAUCCCCCUUCCCUCCUUCUCCCAUAGCUCUCUUUUUGAAUGGGCAUGUGAAUACGCAUGCUUCUUAUUUGUAAAAAUGCUGAGAAACUCUCCCUAACCUAAACACUGAAACCAGUGACUUCAGUUUAAACUCCGUUCUUUCUGAGUCUGCUGUAUUUACUGUUUUGUUGCUGCAUGUUUCCAGUAGCCAGCAGUCACAUUGUCUCUAGGAGUGAGGCUUUUCAUAUCUCAAUUGAAAGCAAAGUUGCUCCUUUCAGAUGUGAUUCAUCUUCAGCCCGUGAUCUUCUCUGGGCUCCUUGUUCUCUUCUGGCUCCUCACCCUUCCAGCCUGUCACUUUUUUCCUUUUUGCUUGUCAUUAUUUGCUGUAGAUUGUGGCUCUGGAGCUCUGGAAUUGUUCUGUGCCUAAAAUAAAGGCAGCACCUCUGCGUGUUGUCUUUUGGGCUCAAAUGACUUGUCUGGGCGUUUGGCAUUGUGUUUUUAGAUGAACUGAUAUUUGAUGUCCGUUCUAUAUGCAAUCGUUUUGCUGCACAACUUUUUCUAAGCUUAAGCGAUACAAAUUUUGUGGGGUUUUUCAGUAUUUGCUGCAUUGUUUAAGGGCUUUAAGUUGUCUUGCAACAUGGGAAGCCUUGGGGCUUCUGGUUCUGAUGGGCUUCAUUGUGAGAGCCGGGUGGAUGUGCUUCCAAGCAGUCUUCUGUAACAGCACUUUACGAAUGCUUCUGCAGUUUUGGUUUAUUUUUCCUUUAUUUCUGUUACAGAAGAAAAAAAACCCAACCAAAAAUUUAUUUAAAUAUUCUGUAAAUAUUCCAGAGAGAUUUGUAUUUUUUCUUUAAUGCCUGUAGGGGAGGGAAGAGAGAGCUUUGUGGCUUUGGGGAAAGGGCUUCAGAGUGGUGGCUGGCUUAGUGUUGUAUGUCCCUUAGAGGCAGCCUGUGGUGGUACCUGAAACUGCUUGUGCGAGGACUGACUUCACCCGGAGCUCUUAUAAACAGAGGCUGGGACUGAAACAUCUGUGGAGCUGUCCCCUCCGUAGCAGGACACGUGAGCUUUCCAAACACGUAGUCAGCUCGGGGCGCAGGGGCAGUGUAGCUCAUAGCAUGAUGAUGGUUUCUUUCCUAAGCUUGUGGAAGGCCAUGUUGUGAUAAUUGACUUUAAAAGGAUUAUAUUUUGUGUAUGGUCUCACCCAGAGAGGAGUUAGCUAUUAAUAACAAUCUCAUUUUGUACCAGGUUGUAUGAGGAUAGAGGAAGAUAGGUGAACUCAUUCUCAUUUUCUUCAUGGAUGCUUUGUUUUUUAUCGUGGGAAGACAUGUAAAAGGAAUUGUUCAGCUUUUUGCUGUUCCUGAGUUCCUGAGGCGAAUAAUGUGAGAUUAAAAAGAAAGGAUAAAAUCCAUUAUUUCUUAUUUUGCUGGAUGACUGUUUAGGAGUCUCAUUUAUGGGUAGGAAACUGAUGAUUUUAUUGAACGGGCAGUUUUGUUAAAUCUCUUAACAAAACCAGAUUUUCUCUCUCUCCCCCCCCCCCCCCCCCCCCUUCAUGUAUGUCUUUGAUUUAAACAGACUUUAAAGCUAUAAAGCAUUUGAAUAAAAAUGCCGUUACCUCUCCACUCAUCAGGCUUCACUUUCACAACGUCUUGAAUGUCACCUUCCAGCUACUCUCCAGAUAUAAAAUCUCUAAUAUAGAAAUAAGGAGGAAAAACCCUCUUAAGAAGAAAAAGAAAAUUAGCCCUUCUUUAUAUAUCAUAAGGGAACAUAAAAGAGCACAAAUCCAAUUCUGCUUUCCUUUUUAGGUCACCUUUAAUGAGCCAAUAAUCCUGCCAACACUUUUCCCACGCCCACAUGUCCUUCCAGUGAGGUCCUCCUUUGAGCUUGAAGUUAAAAGGUUCCCAAGGUUUCACUUGGAGUGCACUAAUAAAGGCAUUAAUAAGUCUACCCAACUUUUCGCUUCACUUGGUAUCAACCCAUUCACAACUGCUGUUAUGGAAAAAGUUCAUCUGUAUGUGAGUAAUUCCUGCUGCUGUUGUGAUCCAACAGAACUACCUUGGGACAGCCUAAGAUUGUACUUUUUGCUUAAAUUAUUUUGGAUUGCGUACUCCAGUAGGCGAUAUUUUAUGCUGCUCAACAGUUCCUGAAAGACCUCAGAAUCUUUUUUAGUUAUGAAUUCUGGGUGAUAAUUCUUCUUUGACCUUUAAACAGAGGCAGCAGCUUCUAGAAAUAUUCCCAGUGGAUGGCUUGCUCCACUGGGAUUUCCUAAGUCUUCUGGUCAUCCAAGAGUCUGCUUUUGAGAGGAUAGCCUCGUAUGUUGGUAUAUUAUUGUGAUAAGAGUAUUUAUCUUUUUUUUUUUUUCAUUUAAAGAAAGAUGGGAAAUAUUUGUUGAUAUUUGACCUACUUUACUGCAGUGUUAGGUUUUAAUUUGGAGAUUUUUUUUCCAUCUCUUUGCUCUCCAAAGAGCACAUCCUUCUAUCAGAUUUGCAGGUAGCUUUUACCUUCUCUCUGUAUGCAAGUGUUUUUGCCUUAUCUCAAGGGAAAUCAGUGUGUCUCAGAGCCCGUAUGCAGCUGGCACUCCCACCUCCUGUCCCAGCGCGGCUGUGUGUGCGCUGGCAGUGGUACGGCAGCUGAAGCCCACCUUUAAUCCCACAAGACUCUUUGCAGUUUAUCAGCCUGCACAGUAAUUAGCGUUACGGUGGUAGAGGAGCUUGUUCAGAUUUAAAGUUGCUCUGGGCAGGAACUAUUGCUGGUCUGUUUUGGUACAGGACCUGGCACUAUGGCAGCCCAGAGCUACCAGGACUUCUGAAUGCAGAUGCAAUAACUAUUGCAGAGGUAACUUAAAGCUACACAUCUUGCAGGCUCAGCUGAUCCGGAUAAUAUUCCUUUCAAGGCAUUGUUGACUUUGAAGUCUAGUGACAGCUGAAAUACCCAAGCUGCUAACUAUUUUAUUGGUGAUAAAAAGCACAUAGAAAAAGCAAUGUUCCUCCUGGCAUAGACUCUCACUUGCGUACACGAGGAAGAUGCAGACAUGUGUUUGGGUUGGGUCUGCAAAAGCACUGGGGUCUUUUGCCCUCCAACUACCUCCAUUUGCAUAUGAGAUUUAUUUUUAUUGGAAAUAAUGGAUGAUAGCUCUUUAUAGCUUUUGCAUGGCAUACAAAGUGCUUUUGUUCCUCUCCCGGUAGAGCAAUACCUACUAUACUGCUUCUACAACUUGCUUACACACUUUGUCACUUAGGUCAAAGACUCCAGUUUUGCUCACACUGUAUGGGCUACACACGAACACAGUGGUAUUUCUCUUUUCCCAGUCUGCAUUUUAAAAACCAGCAGCCUUGUGAAUUACCUUUCCCAUUUCCAGAGUCAAGCACUUGGAAGCUGUUGUAGAAAGACAGUUUGAUGUCUGCAAUGACUGUGCUGGGACUCUAGCUGUAGUGAAGGGCUUCAGUGCUGGUUUUGAUGUUUAAAAUGUGGGCUGCUUCCUCUGUGAAGAGAGGUGAUACAAUUAGCAAGAUACAAAUGUUGCAAGUACAAGGCCAAGAGCUUGCUUGUCUUUUUAUAUGCAGGAAAUUACAUCAUAUCACUUUUUUAGCUGCUGAGAUGUUUGGCUGUAAAUUGAUAGAUGCUGCAACCUAGGCCAUAGCGGGAACACAUGGAGAAAAUGACUUCUUUUCAGUUCUGUGCUGGUGCAGUAUCUUUUGGGUUAAAGAUUACUUUAACUCUUUGGCAGAACAAAAUAAUACUGGUUCAUUAUGCAACAACAGUGUAUUUUCCUGGAAUUGUUGGCUAAUGAAAAAAAAAAUACACCCAUUUUAUUCAGAACAAAACUGUAAAAGCUGACAUGAAAGCUGCUUUGACCCAUGCCGGCUGCACAAUUAAUUAAAAGUUGAAGUGUGGAGUGUUUUUAAUUAAUAGUGGUAUUUCAGAUCUUUUGCUAGUUCUAAGUAGAAAGAAGCAGUGCAUAGGAGAAAAAGCUGCAAGGAGAGCUUUGUCAUCUGGGAUGCCCUAGCUCCUGUUCUGCUGCAGUAUUGCUCAAAUGACUGGAUUGAGAACUUCCCAUUGCUAAAAUCCCAGUUUGAGUUUAAAGACUUGAGUUUUAUCAGGCUUGUUCAGUUGUGCCUGUGCAGCGCGGGCUGGCCGUUCAGACUGAGGAGAUGCUCCAGGUACCCCGUCUGGACAGCUUCACGCCUGCGUGCCCGUGUUGCUUCUGGGGUGUCUCCAGAGCACGAGAGCUGGUGAUGUGGCGAGGCCAAUGCUUCCAAAACCUGUUUAGGAAGAGAACAUCAAGCAAAUGGCAUCUGUCUUUGUCCUGGUUUCGGCUGGGAUUUAACCCCGUGGUUCAGUCAUGGUUUAACCCCGGCCGGCAACCCAGCACCACACAGCCGCUUGCUCGCUGCCCCCCACCCAGAGGGAUGGGAAGGAGGAUCGGAAAGGAAUGUAAAACUCAAGGGUUGAGAUAAGAACAAUUUAAUAGGUGAAGCAAAAGCUGCGCAUGCAAGCAAAGCAAAGCAAGGGAUUCAUUCCCCACUCCCCAUGGGCAGGCAGGUGUUGGGCCAUCCCCAGGAAAGCAGGGCUCCAGCACGCAUAAUGGUAACUUGGGAAGACUAACGCCAAAUGUCCCCCCUUUCCUCCUUCUUCCCCCAGUUUAUAUCCUCAGCAUGAUGUCAUAUGGUAUGAAAUGUCCCUUUGGCUAGCUUGGGUCACCUGUCCUGGCUGUGUCCCCUCCCAGCGUCCUGUGCCCCUCCAGCCCUCUGGCUGGCAGGGCCCAAGGAACUGAAAAGUCCUUGAUUUAGUAUAAACAUCACCCAGCAACAACUAGAAACAUCCGUGUCCUAUCGACUUUGUUCUCACAUCAGAGCCAAAACACAGCACUGUACCAGCUACUAGGAAGAAAAUUAACUCUAUCCCAGCUGAAACCAGGACACUCUUUUACCCAGCGUAGCAAGAAUUUACCAAGGGAGAGGUGCUUUUUAGGAAGCCCUUUUUAGACAGCCGUUGCCAGCAGCACUGCCACAGCCCGUGGCCUUCCUCGCUUCCACUUCUGGUUCUCAGUGCUACUGCUCCCCACUGAACGAUUUCUAUAGUGCUUGCAAUUCUUUUAUCCAAGGGUUUCAGCCUGCGCACUGCUGAUGUGCUCUAAACCCAUCUUUUCUUCUUUUAUUUUUUUUUUUUCAGUGCAUCUUUUCUGGCCAGGGCUAUUGUGUUCUGCUGCACGCUCAGGAAAAAAUAUGUAUUUGUGUUCCAGCACAGCAGGCCUCUCACUGUCCCCAGCCUGCGACAGGGAGGGUGCACUUGGCUGUCAUAGCACAGCAGGUGAGAUGCUUCUUGCAAAACAACAGAAACACAUGCACCCCCCAGAAUAAAAGUGUCUUUUUGAACUAAGUUGCAUUUAACCUUGGACACAACAAUCAGUUUUUAUGAAGGAAAUACACUGAUCUGCGUAAGGGUUGUAUGGCAUGAUGCCGUUCUCUUGGGAGCAAAGUGCUUAAGCAUUUUCUCUCCUGGCAGCAUAUUUUUUGCUUCUCUGCCUUGCAUGUUGCACCAGUCGCUUGUGCUGUCUCACAGCGGUGAAGCAUUGCCAUGCACCUACAUUGGGCUGGUUUUGUUGUCAGCACUGCACAUCUGUAACUGAGACUCUUCCUUUCCGCCAGCGUACAAUGCAGACAUGUUGAAGGCGCAGGGAUUAAGCAGGUUGCAAUAUUGGCAGUAAGAGUUCCAAAGCAAAAGAAAGCCAGGAAUCGCAUUCAGAAACUAGUUCUUCACUGAAUGGAAG